UGAUCGAGGAAGAUUAAGAGAUUGCAUAUGAAGAUGGACAGUUCGAGAUGAACGAAUGAUAUAUGACAUUUUGGGGCACAUUGCGCUUAUAUGAUAAAUUUUUAAUGAUGCUGACAUUUGUCGAAGGACGUAGUCAAUAAAGAACACCGCAGCGCUCAUGACAGCCACAAAAUCGCAUAGCAACAACUAUACUACAAGGCAGUGGUGCGCAGCAUAAACAACAACACAACAACCCAACUAUAUUCAACAUUCUAUAGCUCUAUAUUGUUGCAUAGAUCUGCCUGUCUUGCCUUGCAAAUCGCGAAAACUUAAAAAUAACAAAUAUAUUUGCUCUACAAGAUAUGAAUCAACCACAACCAAGCGGUGACGAAUAUUGCUGCUGCUGACGUUUGACAAAUGUAACCGCGUAGAAUUAAACAACAUUUCAUUUGUUUUUGUAUUUAUUUGUUUAAAAUUUCCUUUAAUCAUCUGUGUUAUAUGUACUUGAGCGCGUCUAAUGCCAACUAAUGAUUAGUAAUGCUAAAUCGUAUGUAAACUACUAACCAACAGCUAAUCAUACAAAUAAUGAUUCAUUACGGUAAGUGCCAAGAAAGUGUAAAUAUUAACGGUGAAUUAUGGCGCACAUCUGCUAGGCAAAUUGUGGCUCGAGAAUA